AUUGAACGCUGGCGGCAGGCCUAACACAUGCAAGUCGAACGGUAACAGGAAGAAGCUUGCUUCUUUGCUGACGAGUGGCGGACGGGUGAGUAAUGUCUGGGAAACUGCCUGAUGGAGGGGGAUAACUACUGGAAACGGUAGCUAAUACCGCAUAACGUCGCAAGACCAAAGGGGGGGACCUUCGGGCCUCAUGCCAUCAGAUGUGCCCAGAUGGGAUUAGCUGGUAGGUGGGGUAACGGCUCACCUAGGCGACGAUCCCUAGCUGGUCUGAGAGGAUGACCAGCCACACUGGAACUGAGACACGGUCCAGACUCCUACGGGAGGGAGCAGUGGGGAAUAUUGCACAAUGGGCGCAAGCCUGAUGCAGCCAUGCCGCGUGUGAAGAAGGCCUUCGGGUUGUAAAGCACUUUCAGCGGGGAGGAAGGCGGUGAGGUUAAUAACCUCACUGAUUGACGUUACCCGCAGAAGAAGCACCGGCUAACUACGUGCCAGCCGCCGCGGUAA
rnacentral:rRNA from 1 species